GCCUAGCUGGCUCCGUUGGUGGAGCAUGUGAUUCUUGAUCUUGAGGUCAUGAGUUCAAGUACCAUGUUGGGCA
rnacentral:tRNA from 1 species